UCUGUUGAUGAUGAAGAUCUGAUCUCAUAUGUUGUUGGAGGCCUCAAUCCCUCAUACCAUCCUUUUAUCACCUCUCUUCACUUUGCUACUCGAGAGUCCUCUAUUACUUUUGAUGAUUUCCAAACAGAGUUGCUCAACUUUGAGC